UCUACCAGUACGGCAACUACUCCUGGGACCUGGCAGACGAACAGAACGUGAGCGCUGCCACCAGCACCCAGGCUGCGGGGGUACCGGAGCCCCAGCCCUGGCCCUGAGGGAGAGGGAAGUCAGGGCCGGGGCUGCCCCAAUCCUGUCUCCUGUGCGCAGGUGAACGGAUUCAACACCCUUGGGGAAAACAUUGCUGACAACGGAGGGGUGCGGCAAGCCUAUAAGGCCUACCUCAAGUGGAUGGCAGAGGGUGGCAAGGACCAGCAGCUGCCCGGCCUGGAUCUCACCCAUGAGCAGCUCUUCUUCAUCAACUAUGCCCAGGUGGCAGCCGCAGUCCUGGUCCCACCAUCCCCAUGCUUCCCCACUCAUCUCUGGAGGGCCCACUCUGGGGCACCUCCAGGGACCAGAGCCCAGCAUGGAAGGCCCCUUGGGGGAAAAGCAUGAGGGGCAGGGGGCGGGAGCUGGACAGGAUUUCAAUGCUGAUGGGAGGAGGGGAGCACCUGCUGACUCCCCUCACCCCACCCUAGAAGGGGCAGCCUGGGGAUAGUGGAGACCCUCC
rnacentral:lncRNA from 1 species